rnacentral:rRNA from 1 species
UGAACGCUGGCGGCGUGCCUAAUACAUGCAAGUCGAACGGCGAGUGAUACUUCGGUAAAAACUCUUAGUGGCGAACGGGUGAGUAACGCGUUGGUGACCUGCCCCGAAGAGGGGGAUAACAGCUUGAAAGAGCUGCUAAAACCCCAUGUGAUCUAAGAGGCUAGAGGCUUUUAGAUGAAAAGAGAAAUCUGCUUCGGGAGGGGCCUGCGUCCCAUCAGCUAGUUGGUAGGGUAAAAGCCUACCAAGGCGAAGACGGGUAGGGGACCUGAGAGGGUGACCCCCCACAAUGGAACUGAAACACGGUCCAUACACCUACGGGUGGCAGCAGUAGGGAAUAUUGCACAAUGGGCGAAAGCCUGAUGCAGCAACGCCGCGUGUGCGAUGAAGGCCUUCGGGUUGUAAAGCACUUUUACGCGAGAUGCGGAAGGACAGUAUCCCCGGAAUAAGGCUCGGCUAACUAC